GAUGAACGCUGGCGGCGUGCCUAAUACAUGCAAGUCGAGCGAACAGACGAGGAGCUUGCUCCUCUGACGUUAGCGGCGGACGGGUGAGUAACACGUGGAUAACCUACCUAUAAGACUGGGAUAACUUCGGGAAACCGGAGCUAAUACCGGAUAAUAUAUUGAACCGCAUGGUUCAAUAGUGAAAGACGGUUUUGCUGUCACUUAUAGAUGGAUCCGCGCCGCCUGAGCUAGGUGGUAAGGUAGCGGCUUACCAAGGCCACGAUGCGUAGCCGACCUGAGAGGGUGAUCGGCCAGACGGGAGCUGAGACACGGUCCAGACUCCUACGGGAGGCAGCAGUAGGGAAUCUUCCGCAAUGGGCGAAAGCCUGACGGAGCAACGCCGCGGGAGUGAUGAAGGUCUUCGGAUCGUAAAACUCUGUUAUUAGGGAAGAACAAAUGUGUAAGUAACUAUGCACGUCUUGACGGGACCUAAGCAGAAAGCCACGGCUAACUACGU
rnacentral:rRNA from 1 species